CUACGGGUUGCUGCAGUGGGGAAUCUUAGACAAUGGGGGAAACCCUGAUCUAGCCAUGCCGCGUGAGCGACGACGGCCCUAGGGUUGUAAAGCUCUUUCAGCAGGGAAGAUAAUGACGGUACCUGCAGAAGAAGUCCCGGCUAACUCCGUGCCAGCAGCCGCGGUAAUACGGAGGGGACUAGCGUUGUUCGGAAUUACUGGGCGUAAAGCGCGCGUAGGCAGAUUGUUAAGUCGGGGGUGAAAUCCCGGGGCUCAACCCCGGAACUGCCCUCGAUACUGGCAGUCUUGAGUUCGAGAGAGGUGAGUGGAAUUCCGAGUGUAGAGGUGAGAUUCGUAGAUAUUCGGAGGAACACCAGUGGCGAAGGCGGCUCACUGGCUCGAUACUGACGCUGAGGUGCGAAAGCGUGGGGAGCAAACAGGAUUAGAUACCCGCGUAGUC
rnacentral:rRNA from 1 species